rnacentral:ncRNA from 1 species
ACAAUGAGACUUCCGUCUUUUGACGGCUCGGUGAGAACCACGGAGGGGUCAGAUUCCCAUG